CCCAGCACCGAAUCCCGCGGUCGAUAUCGCCGCCGAGGAAUGUGGUGUUAGGGAGGGUCCAUUAUCCCGAGAUCAUGCGGCGCGUCCAAGUCCUUCUUGAACGGGGCCACAGCCCAUAGAGGGUGCCAGGCCCGUAGCGACCGCUGCUGAUCGCGGGAGGAUCUCUCCUCAGAGUCGGGUUGCUUGAGAGUGCAGCCCUAAGUGGGUGGUAAACUCCAUCUAAGGCUAAAUAUGACCACGAGACCGAUAGCGAACAAGUACCGUGAGGGAAAGUUGAAAAGCACUUUGAAGAGAGAGUUCAAGAGUACGUGAAACCGUUUAGGGGUAAACCUGAGAAACCCGAAAGGUCGAAGGGAGAAAUUCAUUCGCGUUUCGAGGUUGGCGUGAGACGAACGUGUGACGGAGACGGUUCGCCCGAUCUGCGCCUUUCGUUUUUCGAUCCGACCGCGAACGCGUGCACUUUUCUCCUGGUAGGACGUCGCGAUCCGUUGGGCGUCGAUCUACGGUCCGAGGUGGAGUCCGCGCGGUUUUUCCGUGCGAACCCUCGGUGUCCUGGCCGACUUGCUCGACGGUAUACGAACGGUCGAGGGCCGCUUUUAAAGCGUCCGACUCGUUGCAAGCACGCCUGAAGUAUCGAAUACCGGACCUAGCGCCGAUACCGAUCUCAGGUGGCUGUUGGCGACGAACGUCUCGGACAGACCCUCAAGACUGAUCUGCGACGCUAUAGCUUUGGGUAAUUUCAGGACCCGUCUUGAAACACGGACCAAGGAGUCUAGCAUGUGCGCGAGUCAUUGGGAAUCACUAAACCUAAAGGCGUAAUGAAAGUAAAGGUCCGUCUUGCACGGACCGAGGGAGGAUGGGCGGUUCGCCCUUAAAAGCGGCCGCUCCGCACUCCCGGGGCGUCUCGUUCUCAUUGCGAGAGGAGGCGCACCAAGAGCGUACACGCUGGGACCCGAAAGAUGGUGAACUAUGCCUGGUC
rnacentral:rRNA from 1 species